rnacentral:rRNA from 1 species
CAGUUCUGGAUCCCAUUGUUCGGCUCCUUCGACGAGUUGGUCAAGGCCGUGUCGAGGGGGGCUCUGGGAGGUGGUGCCCUCCUAAGGUGUGACAUUGACACAGUGGUUAAGCCCAAUGUCGAGCUACUUCUGCGCUGCGGCUUUAAUAUCCCUGAUCUCGCCAAGACCGGCUUCAAUGGGACGCGGGUGAUCGUCUGCAGCCCAGAAAAACUCCAGGCAUUGGUCGCACGCGCAGAUGAGCUCGGGGUACCACGUGGCUCAGGCCUAUUCAUAUAUGCGCUCGCAACCGUCUUCUGGGUAACCCAAGAGAAGCUUGUUGCAAGAAUGGAGUUACUGAAGAAGACCCUUGGCUGCUCUGACGACAUGCUAAAAAUUGCAGUCGUCAAGCACCCAAGCCUCCUAAGAUCAUCUGAGGACAACCUGCGCAGCACGGUAGAGUUCCUGAUCAACAAGGUUGGUCUUGAGCCAGAGUACAUCGUGCGCAGGCCCGCGCUGAUCACUUACAGCCUGAAGGCGAGGCUUGAGCCUUGAUAUAUUGUCAUGAAGAUACUGCAGGGCAAGGGACUUCUGAGUUCUGACUAUUGCUCAUUGGUUGUUGCGAGUGAGAGGUACUUCAGGUCAAGAUUUAUUGAGUAUUACAAGGAGAGUGUUCCUGAGCUCCCUGAUGUGUAUGCCGCGGCUCGC